rnacentral:rRNA from 1 species
UACGUAGGGUGCAAGCGUUGUUCGGAAUUAUUGGGCGUAAAGAGCUCGUAGGCGGUUUGUCGCGUCGAAUGUGAAAACCCGGGGCUCAACCCCGGGCCUGCAUUCGAUACGGGCAGACUAGAGUUCGGUAGGGGAGUCUGGAAUUCCUGGUGUAGCGGUGAAAUGCGCAGAUAUCAGGAGGAACACCGGUGGCGAAGGCGGGACUCUGGGCCGAUACUGACGCUGAGGAGCGAAAGCGUGGGGAGCAAACAGG